GCUUGGAUUGCAGCACGUGAGCCAGCUCGCGCAGGUGGCCCCGGUGUCGCUGCUCGUCGGGCCGCGCGGGGAAGGCGGCAGCCAGGAUCCGCUCCGUCACGAUGACCGGCACCCACAGCAGUCCAUUCAAGCUAACCUCCUGGGGGCCCUCUCUGUGGCCACCAGACCUUUGGACACCUCAGCCAGGUUCCUUGCCACUCCCACCCCAUCUCAGAGCACACUCACCAGCUCCGCCGGAGGCAAAGCCUGACAGGACGAUGUCACCUGGAAGGAGACCCGAGUGAGGGGCUGAGCUCCUGCUGAAAUGGGGUCUCCUGGGCUUGACGAUGGGGCUACCCCUCAGCUUCAGCAAGAAGGUGGAGGGGCUGUCAGCAGAUGGGCACACACUCCAGCUGAGGUUCCUCUAUUUAAGGGAGUCUCCCCUCUGGCCUCUCUGGUCCCCCACCCCUAGGCCCCCCACUUGUUGCUCUUGGCUCCCAGCCCCCUGCCCACACAGACCCCCAUUCAUCCAGCUGCGGGGCAGGAGUUAUAUAUAGAGCCAUGUAGGCAGGCCAUGGCCAGGGACGGACACUGGCCUCUUUCACCGGGAGACCCCGCCCCUGGGCACACAGCUCCCCCAGGCCAACUCCAAGGCCCUGGGACCCCCCGCACUGCAGGGGGAGGACCAGGGAACCUCCUCAGAGAUGGGGCUGCCUCAGGUCCCCAGUGGACAGUGGUGCUAUCUACAGCUUGUACCUCCCGCCCGGCCUUUCCAGGGCCCAGGACGAGACCCACCCAGGCAUCCUGAGGACCCUUCCCCAGAGGGAAGGCACAGCCCAUCCGGCUACCCAGUCUUUGAAAUCCUGCUCCCCCCCCCACCCACCCCACCCUUCCUCGUCCUCAUUCUCCUCCUCUUCCCCACCCCCAUCCUCUCGCCAGCUGCAGCCUGGGCACAGCACCAAGACAAACCCUGUCUCCUGUCCACCCGCCUGGGCCAGCCCUCCAGGGGGUGGAGUAGGGUGGUUCUUAAAGGGCCCAGUACAGCACCCUCUCCCACUCCGGCAGGGGAUCCCCCAUGAUGAGAUGGGCUGCGGUUGAUGCCGAUGUGGCUGGAGAAGCCUGUUUCAGAGGAAAAGACUCUAGUCCUCCUCCCCCAGUCAAGUACCCACCUUUGCUUCACA